CCUACGGGAGGCAGCAGUGGGGAAUAUUGGACAAUGGGCGAAAGCCUGAUCCAGCAAUGCCGCGUGUGUGAAGAAGGCCUUAGGGUUGUAAAGCUCUUUCACCGGUGAAGAUAAUGACGGUAACCGGAGAAGAAGCCCCGGCUAACUUCGUGCCAGCAGCCGCGGUAAUACGAAGGGGGCUAGCGUUGUUCGGAAUUACUGGGCGUAAAGCGCGCGUAGGCGGAUGGAUAAGUCAGAGGUGAAUCCCGGGGCUCAACCCCGGAAUUGCCUUUGAUACUGUUUAUCUUGAGUGCAGAAGAGGUAAGUGGAAUUCCGAGUGUAGAGGUGUAAUUCGUAGAUAUUCGGAGGAACACCAGUGGCGAAGGCGGCCCCCUGGACGAAGACUGACGCUCAGGUGCGAAAGCGUGGGGAGCAAACAGGAUUAGAUACCCGGGUAGUC
rnacentral:rRNA from 1 species